rnacentral:rRNA from 1 species
UACGAAGGGGGCUAGCGUUGCUCGGAAUGACUGGGCGUAAAGGGCGCGUAGGCGGUUCGUACAGUCAGACGUGAAAUUCCCGGGCUCAACCUGGGGGCUGCGUUUGAUACGUACGGGCUUGAGUUCGGAAGAGGGUCGUGGAAUUCCUAGUGUAGAGGUGAAAUUCGUAGAUAUUGGGAAGAACACCGGUGGCGAAGGCGGCGACCUGGUCCGAUACUGACGCUGAGGCGCGAAAGCGUGGGGAGCAAACAGG